rnacentral:rRNA from 1 species
CAGCAGCCGCGGGAAAACGUAGGGUGCAAGCGUUAAUCGGAAUUACUGGGCGUAAAGCGUGCGCAGGCGGUUCGCUAAGACAGAUGUGAAAUCCCCGGGCUUAACCUGGGAACUGCAUUUGUGACUGGCGGGCUAGAGUAUGGCAGAGGGGGGUAGAAUUCCACGUGUAGCAGUGAAAUGCGUAGAGAUGUGGAGGAAUACCGAUGGCGAAGGCAGCCCCCUGGGCCAAUACUGACGCUCAUGCACGAAAGCGUGGGGAGCAAACAGGAUUAGAUACCCCGGUAGUCCCUGUCUCUUAUAC